GGCAAACGCAGAGCACGGAGGACAGGGCCGGGCGACCUGGGCACCAGCAGGACCCGAGGCCAGGAGCCAGGGGCCCAGAAGGAGGAGUGUGGCAUUCAGUUCCAAUGUCAUCGUGUGGAAAAGAGUCCCUGCCUGGCUGAGAAACUGUCACAGGCAGCCGGGCCACUUCCCAGCAUGACCCACAAGCCUGAUGGUGCCCCUCGAGUGGUUAAGGGACCCGUACAGAUACCAUUCUUUCAAAGCAAGCCGACGCAAUCUUCACGAAUUACAGUUCCACCCUGGCUGCUGGCACUAACUCUAAUAAUAGAAAAAAAUUUAAAAGAUUGGGGACAACAGGAAACACAUUGGAUCCCCGGGGAAACGGCCUGGAAGCUACAGUAGAGACGUGGGUGACCCAAGGGCUCUGUUCAAGUCCUGGGGCUGUUCCCUUUAUUCCUCCAAGCCUCAGCUCCCCAGAUUUAAAGUGAGAACAGCACCCAGCCCAGCCCACUGUCAAGGGCUGUUGCAGGAAUAUGACAACAGCCACCAAUAUUUGCAUAGCAGAGAUGCCCAGUUUCAUUUUCUAUUUGAAAGUUUCUCUGAAGGGGGAUGUGCUGGAGACAUGAGAACAACUGCUAUCAUCUUAAUAACUUUUCUGGCAAUACACGACGAUGAUUGUUUAUGUUAAUCUCAUAACUAUUAACAAUAAUUCAUUUCAUUCUCAUAAUGAAUUAUAUCUGACUUAUAAUAAAUAUAAUCAUAUCAGUAAUAUAGUCCUUUUCUGAUCAUGAAAGCAACAUAUGCUCACUAUAGAAAAUUUGGAAAAUACAGAAAAAUGCACAUAAGGGAAAAAUUAUUCAUCCUUUCUCCCACGCAGAGACAAGCUCUGGUCACACUUUCCUGUGUUUCUUUCCAGGCUCUGCUCUCUGCCGAGCGGCUUUCAUCAAUUCUCCUAGCAUCUAUUUUCAGAUAACUCCGUGGGCUUUUGUGAUUGGUCCUCCUUGUCGCCUUGGCCCUUCUGGUCCUCAGUGGCAGUUCUUUCUCUCUUGCUGCCUCCUUCAGGAGGGCCCGGCUGAGGGUCUGGGUGUUCAGGGAGAAGACCUCAGGCUCCACGGCACCCAGCCUCCUUGUCCUGCUGUGCUGGGAGCCCUGUUGGGGCAGCCCAGACACAUGGCCAGCACAGCCCCACGGCAAAGCCAGGCCUGCAGGUGGGCUCAGGGCGUCAGGGAGCCGGAGCGAGUGGCAUGAAACCCAUUAUCUCGCAGGGCCCGAGCUGUGGAGGUGAGCGCGCUAGGCCUUCCCGUGCAGGAGAGGGCUGGGAGGUGGGAAGAUGCAGGCAGGCCAACCCUGACAGAAAACCCACGAACACUGCAGCAUGGAUUGGGGGGUGGGGGACGCGGAGAGAGUGUAAAAAGCAGCUUCAAUGCUUGAAUUCUAAGCAAAGAAAGAUGCUCGGGCCAAAUAAAACAAACCACUUCUUAGACGUGCAAAAUUUCGUCGGAACUGAUGGGCUAAUGUUUCCAAGGUGUUCAGCUUUAUGGCCCUGACUUACACCCGCCGCGUGGUUGGGGGUUAGUGCCAAGUGGCUUGGUAGGCAGAAAUCCACCAGAACUUCAGUGCAAGGGCACAAUCCCCCAAUACCAUGUCACAAUCAUGCACGUGCCUGGGCCGACCCCACAAGACCGUCAGGAAAAAAGUUCCACAGAACCAGGUCUCUGGAGGGGGAACCACACAGACCUCCCUAUUGCCUUCUGAGUAACUGAUCCAAAGGCAUUUCUAGAAUAGCCGGGUACGUUCGUGAUAGGAGAAAUGAAGUCUAUGGGGUCUACCUUUACCCCCUUAGAAUAAUGCAGUGGCCUCAACGUCUUAACAAUAGAUCAUUUGAGAUUUAUUAAUAACCCAAGUUGCAGACAAACUUCAUAGGCAAGAUCAUAGGUUGCAGUGUUCACUACAGUAUAGAAAUAUUAGCAAGACACGACAUAGGGAAUCAUAGGGGACAUGACAGUAAAUUAUCCCACAGUGAAAUAAUGGAACAUUGUGUCACCCUUAAAACGGUGGUGACAUUUUGGGAGGCCAAGGCGGGUGGAUCACCUGAGGUCAGGAGCUCGAGACCAGCCUGGGCAACAUGGUGAAACCCCGUCUCUACUGAAAAUACAAAAA